rnacentral:rRNA from 1 species
AUGGAGCAACCAAACCAAUGGCUUGCACAGAUGCAAGAGGAGGAACUAGUUUACAUGUACCAGCAAGAAGGGGCUCUACCCGGCAUGGAGCAGCAGUUCGCAGAGCCACCGCUGGCUGACCAUCAAGAGCGGUACUACACGCCAUUAAUGGCGAUUCCGUCGUUCAAUCAAUCUCGCAGCUCCAAUUUCCCGAGCUUUGGGGGCUCAUCGUCGUUGCCCAACCUACCAUUCGGAUCGGCGCCGGUGGAGAACGAGCUAGGGCAGCCGUCUAGCCGCCAUCGUCCAACUUCUUAUCCUGCGGCGGGCACCCUAAACUUCUCCGUAGGAGCCUGCUGGCAGCACGACGGCGUCCAAGGGACGAUGCAACAGCUACAGGCGCCGGAGAGGCGGGGCAGGGCACUGGCGAGCGCGCAAGAGCAUGUCAUUGCCGAGCGCAAGCGGCGGGAGAAGCUGCAUCUGCAGUUCGUGUCCUUGGCCAUGAUCAUCCCCGGCAUUAAGAAGACAGACAAGCUCUCUCUGCUGGGGAGCACCAUCGACUAUGUGAAGCAGCUGGAGGAGAAGGUCAAGGCCCUGGAUGAGCAAUGCUCACGGGGAUCGUCGGAGUCCAUGGUGUUCGACAGCAAGUGCCGCAUAUCCGCUGCCGACAUCAGGCACCCUGAUGCCGACAAUGGUGCAGCAGGCCCCAGCGGGAGUGGCUGCGGGUACCUGAGCCCGGACAUUGAGGCCAGCAUCCUGGGCAACACAGCGCUCCUGAGUAUCUUCUGCAGAGGGAGAAAAGGUGUGCUGGUGAUGGUCCUCUCCGAGCUCGAGAACCAGGGCCUCUCAAUCAUAAACACCAACGUCGUACCGUUUACCGACUCCUGCCUCAACAUCACCAUCACAGCAAAGAUCGAAGAGGGGUUUUCGUCCGCAGUUGAGCUGGUGAAGAACCUAAAAAUGGCUCUCAGAAGUUUCAACUACAAGUGA